rnacentral:ncRNA from 2 species
UUCUUAUCCAGAGAGGUGGAGGGACUGGCCCUGCGAAGCCUCAGCAACCCCUGAUUAUGUCAGGAAGGUGCUAAUUCCAACAGAGUUGACGCUCUGGGAGAUAAGAG